GAAGGCUGAACUCCGUGCAUAAAACGCGAUGAAGUGUUGCUCGGAGU
rfam:Vibrio parahaemolyticus RIMD 2210633 DNA, chromosome 1, complete sequence.